rnacentral:tRNA from 2 species
GCGGGUGUAACUCAGUGGUAGAGUGUUUGCUUCCCAAGCAAAAAGUCGUGGGUUCGAAUCCCAUCACCCGCUCCA